GACUUCCUAGAUUUGUCGCGCGCCCAUCGGCAUGUUUUGUGGAUAGCAACUCGGCUAGCAGGCAUUGAUCUAUGAAAGGUGCAAUAAAUGCCCUUGUGAUUGUUUGCACUA
rnacentral:lncRNA from 1 species